rnacentral:rRNA from 1 species
AAAGAUUAAGCCAUGCAUGUCUAAGGACAUGCCAAAAUAAGGCGAAACCGCGAAUGGCUCAUUAAAUCAGUUAUGGUUCCUUAGAUCGUUUCUUCCUACUUGGAUAACUGUGGCAAUUCUAGAGCUAAUACAUGCAGUGAGCCUGAAGCCCUUUGGGCGACGGGUGCUUUUAUUAGACCAAGAUCGAUCGGGUUUCGGCCCGUAUUGUGUGGUGACUCUGGAUAACUUUGUGCUGAUCGCACAGCCCUGCGCUGGCGACGUUUCUUUCAAGUGUCUGCCUUAUCAACUUUCGAUGGUAGGUUACUUGCUUACCAUGGUUGUUACGGGUAACGGAGAAUCAGGGUUCGAUUCCGGAGAGGGAGCCUGAGAAACGGCUACCACAUCCAAGGAAGGCAGCAGGCGCGCAAAUUACCCACUCCCGGCACGGGGAGGUAGUGACGAAAAAUAACAAUACGGGACUCUUUUGAGGCCCCGUAAUUGAAAUGAGUACACUCUAAAUCCUUUAACGAGGAUCAAUUGGAGGGCAAGUCUGGUGCCAGCAGCCGCGGUAAUUCCAGCUCCAAUAGCGUAUACUAAAGCUGCUGCGGUUAAAAAGCUCGUAGUUGGAUCUCAGUUCCAGACGAGUAGUGCAUCUACCCGAUGCGACGGCUCGGACUGAACAUCAUGCCGGUUGUUUCUUGGUGCCCUUCAUUGUGUGCCUCGAGGUGGCCGGUGCUUUUACUUUGAAAAAAUUAGAGUGCUCAACGCAGGCGAGUCGCCUGAAUAAACUUGCAUGGAAUAAUAGAACAAGACCUCGUUUCUGUUCUGUUGGUUUUUGGAAUACGAGGUAAUGAUUAAGAGGGACGGACGGGGGCAUUCGUAUUGCGGCGCUAGAGGUGAAAUUCUUGGACCGUCGCAAGACGAACUACUGCGAAAGCAUUUGCCAAGAAUGUUUUCAUUGAUCAAGAACGAAAGUCAGAGGUUCGAAGGCGAUCAGAUACCGCCCUAGUUCUGACCAUAAACGAUGCCAACCAGCGAUCCGCCUGAGUUACUCAAAUGACUCGGCGGGCAGCUUCCGGGAAACCAAAGUAUUUGGGUUCCGGGGGAAGUAUGGUUGCAAAGCUGAAACUUAAAGGAAUUGACGGAA